GCAGAUAUUGGCGAUCCCCUUUUAACAUCUUGCUGGACAGUUGAUAAAUUUAUUUAUUUUUAUGGGCUGAUCAACGAAGCACUGCUACCCUCUAAUGACUAAGAAAUGGGCUUCUUCCCAUCUACAUGCAAUACAAAAGAAAGCAGGGGUCAUUUGCACUUCCAUUUCCAUUUUAUGUGGUCUUUAAUGUAUGUCCUUCGCAACCAAUAUAAUUUUUUCUCAGGACAUAAGUGUGUAUAUAUAUUGGUGUCGACAAGAUAUGUUCGAACAUGGCUCUAGUUUCUAUUGUUGAUGGUAAAAAUUAGGCCAUCCCAUUUUGAAAGGCAGAUUCCAAUUUUAUGAAAAGAAAGUCGCUAUUGGGAUAUAAGGAAAAACAUUUGAAUUGGAUAUAUCACAACCCACAAAUGUCUGAAAACCAAAUAUAGCAAGAGUAUGAAGAGAGAAGAGAAACGGCAGAAAUUCCAUGAAGGGCUCCUUCGGAUGCUCUAUCCUCCUCCACCAUCACCUCCUUCCCAAGAAGAAAACGACGACGAACCCCUUCACUUACUCGAACAACGCCUCAACUUGGAUCAAAUUCCAGAUGAACUGGAAGAAGAUAAAGGUUCUUCCAACGACGAUGACGUGGAGUCUGAUCACGGGCCUGAGAAGCUCACAAGGGCACAGAGGAAGAGGAUUCGACGAAAGAAGCUUAAGGAAGCCGCCUCUCGCCGCCAGAAUAUAAUUGGCCCGUUGUUUCCUACGGAAGAGAGUGAUGACAAGGGCGUAAAUUUGAGUACCUCAGAUGAGAAACCACAAGGUGUUCGACAAAAUGUCAAUGAGACAGAUAAUGCAGAGUCUUGCUCGAAACAAAACAGACUAAAACAAAGAAGAAUGGCUAAACGGUUGGUUGGUGGCAGCUCAAAGUCAACUGGGGAUGGUAACAAGACUUGAAAGUUCCAGUUCAGUGUUAGCAAGACUUGAAGGGUAUUGCAACAGGCAGUAUUAAACAUUUUAACUGGUAUCUUGAAGAUAGAUGAUGAUGAUAAUAUAUAUAGACAGUUGAUGAUUUAAAUUUUGAAAGGUGAUUAAUUUCGCGUGAAAUUUUUUAGUUUUAAAUGAUAUAUAUUAUUGUACGGAAAAUUUUAAUAUGGUUGAGGCACAACCAACAAAAGUUGAGAGAGGCUCCAUUCCUUUUUGGAUACGUGGAUAAGUGGGCCAAUUUACUUAUUUUAAACCUCAAAAUAAAUUAACAAAAGAGUGAAAAUAUAU